rnacentral:rRNA from 1 species
GACAGAGGGUGCAAACGUUGUUCGGAAUUACUGGGCGUAAAGCGCGUGUAGGCGGCUUCGCAAGUCGGGUGUGAAAUCCCACGGCUCAACCGUGGAAGUGCACUCGAAACUGCGAGGCUAGAGUCCUGGAGAGGAAGGUGGAAUGCUUGGUGUAGAGGUGAAAUUCGUAGAUAUCAAGCGGAACACCGGUGGCGAAGGCGGCCUUCUGGACAGUGACUGACGCUGAGACGCGAAAGCGUGGGGAGCAAACAGG